AUACGGAGGAUGCGAGCGUUAUCCGGAUUUAUUGGGUUUAAAGGGUGCGUAGGCGGACGAUUAAGUCAGCUGUGAAAUGCCCGCGCUUAACGCGGGAAGUGCAGUUGAUACUGGUUGUCUGGAGUGCCGUUGCAGUGGGGGGAAUGGGCAGUGUAGCGGUGCAAUGCAUAGAUAUUGCCCAGACCACCGAUUGCGAAGGCAUCUCACGAAUCCGAGACUGACGCUGAGGCACGAAAGCGUGGGGAUCAAACAGGAUUAGAUACCCUGGUAGUCCACGCAGUAAACGAUGAUAACUAACCGUCGGCGAUAGAAUGUCGGUGGCCAAGCGAAAGCGAUAAGUUAUCCACCUGGGGAGUACGUUCGCAAGAAUGAAACUCAAAGGAAUUGGCGGGG
rnacentral:rRNA from 1 species